UCUCACGCUUUGUUGCGCUGUUUUCACAGUUUUGUGGUUGCCAUCAAGGUUGGCUUUUGUCUUUUAAAUACAGUUCUUCGUUGGGAGUCUUCCCUCUCCUUCAUCGGACUCGAUCGGUCCUGGGUAUUUCUCUCACGUGUCUCCUCGCGUGUGCCGCAGCGGAGACCGAUCAGCUGUGACCGAUCAGCUGUGACCUGUCACGUCGUGGCUGAGCCACUGUGGCUUGGGUGUUUCUCCUCCUCACCUGUGUGACGCUCAUUCAACUCCGACGGUUAAAUAUGUGUGCGAUCGGCGUCUGCCAGCACUAACUCUCCCACGUGAUUGCUGUCGGCUGGCUGCUGUUUUGCCUGUUGUUUUGUGUGGCUGUGAGAACCCAAUCAUCCGGCCUGCAUCCAACGCUAACCCAUCGACUGUGCUGUUCCGGCAGUAAAUUGGUUAAUGUUUUCUUACCCUGGUGCCCCAUGUAUGUGUAACCAGGUGUAAGAAGCACAGACAGUUAAAUGAGUACAAUAAAAGGAGAGAGAGAGUGUUUAUUCUCUUUUUCUUUAUUUGAUUACAUUGAAGUGUUAAAAGUGUUAAAAGUCCCAUUGUAUUUGAAUGCACCACUCAGUUCACGCAACUCCAGGUGGGGGGUACCUAGCCUUCCACGGCCAAUCAGAGGCUACGCAGGUUACGCUCAGCCUGUUGGAUUAGAGAAGGAGUGCAAGCGCGUUGUUCAUCCGUUCUUUUCUGAAGCGAGGGCACCUACAUGCUAAGAAGAAGAGGAAAACAGGAGAAAAACCCGGAGUUUACCUGUGAAAAGGAGAAAGAGAGAGUCGGAGCACUUACCCUCUGGAGGUUCGAAGUCGAGUGACUACACGAAGGAGAGAAGUUACGUCGGCUAACAACUUAACUUCCAUCGGGAUAGCUGCUGCGAGGUCUGACAUCGGCGUGAGCCGCCUUAAUACACAGAGCAACGGUCAGGUUUUUUUAGGAGGACGGAAAAGCCUGAGGAUCGGGACAAGCUUCCGUCCGUAAUAGAUGGCGAGCCAACUACCUUGAAGAAAGAUCAGCACCGAGAGGAUCCACGUACACACUCAUUUACACACACACACUACACAUUUACAUUACAUUACAAGGAUCUUGGAAUCAGGUGAACCUGCUAUGACUCUACAGAAAUAAACCUGCAACCAUCAUAUUUUGUUCAAGGGCCCCAACGGACAAUUUUAGUGUGCACACUACCUUUUUUUUAUUUUCCUGACAGUUGGGUUAUUGUUUUGUAUGUUGUGCAAGCCAAACAAAUUAUUUCAUUCUCUGUAAAUAAUUAUAUGAGUGGCUACUCAACGGUUAUACCUGUGUCUGCCUCAUUAUUGUUGCUCAGUACAGUGGCUCCUUUUC